rnacentral:lncRNA from 1 species
UUAUUGUCAAAAAUUAAAACCGCAAUACACUAAUGCAAAUGGAAACAAACAAUGAAGUCGUCACUGAGGACGUUGUUGGUCGGCAGAAGGAUCAGCGGGGGCUGGUGCCUCGCCGUCGUUGGGGAUCCAGAAAGUGAGAACCGUAGAGGCAGCAACGAACAUUGCUCUACGCGGUGCCCAUUUCAGACACGACUCUACUCCUAUAUGGGGAUCCAGAAAGUGAGAACCGUAGAGGCAGCAACGAACAUUGCUCUACGCGGUGCCCAUUUCAGACACGACGCUACUCCUAUGUUGUUCUCCCACCUCGCCACCUGC